rnacentral:rRNA from 1 species
UACGAAGGGGGCCAGCGUUGUUCGGAAUCACUGGGCGUAAAGCGCUCGUAGGCGGAUUUUCAAGUCAGGGGUGAAAUCCCGAGGCUCAACCUCGGAACUGCCUUUGAUACUGGGAAUCUCGAGUCCGGGAGAGGUGAGUGGAACUGCGAGUGUAGAGGUGAAAUUCGUAGAUAUUCGCAAGAACACCAGUGGCGAAGGCGGCUCACUGGCCCGGUACUGACGCUGAGGAGCGAAAGCGUGGGGAGCAAACAGG